rnacentral:lncRNA from 1 species
AGUAAGCUUCAAGUGAAAUUGAUACAUUACCUUGUGCAUCUUCAUCGGUUAAAGAUACUACCCCUGGAUGGAGGAAAAGUACUUGCAGAGAAGAUGCCACAUCUACAUAUGAGACAGAUAAGGCAAGUGAAAAUGAUACCACACUUCGGUACUUAGAAGUUUCGUGAUUACUCAAUGGCUUGGAUCUUGCAAGUCCCCAACCGAGGAGUUUCCCUCACUCAGGAACUUAGGGGAGCACUGUUUAUACCAUACUUGACCAAUCCUGAAACUACUGAGCACCGGUCAACGUUAUACCGUCAAGGACUUA